rnacentral:misc_RNA from 1 species
AAGCCCACCAGCGGGCUAGCCCUAGAAGCGGGUUUUGGC